rnacentral:tRNA from 1 species
GCCGAAGGUAGUAUAACAAAUUACAUAAGAUUUAAGACCUUAAAAUGAGAGAUACCCUUUCUCCCACGGCA